UCCCUCAUAGCUUGGUCGGUAAAGAAUCUGCCUGCAAUGCAGGAAUCCUAGGUUCGAUCCCUGGGUUGGGAA
rnacentral:tRNA from 1 species